rnacentral:rRNA from 1 species
UACGGAGGGUGCAAGCGUUACUCGGAAUCACUGGGCGUAAAGGGUGCGUAGGCGGGUUAUCAAGUCUCGAGUGAAAUCCAACGGCUUAACCGUUGAACUGCUUGGGAAACUGGUAGCCUAGAGUGAGGGAGAGGCAGAUGGAAUUGGUGGUGUAGGGGUAAAAUCCGUAGAGAUCACCAGGAAUACCCAUUGCGAAGGCGAUCUGCUGGAACUCAACUGACGCUGAGGCACGAAAGCGUGGGGAGCAAACAGG